rnacentral:rRNA from 1 species
GACAGAGGGUGCAAACGUUGUUCGGAAUUACUGGGCGUAAAGCGCAUGUAGGCGGCCUCGCAAGUCGGGUGUGAAAGCCCUGGGCUCAACCCAGGAAGUGCACUCGAUACUGCAAGGCUUGAGUUCCGGAGAGGAAAGCGGAAUUCUCGGUGUAGAGGUGAAAUUCGUAGAUAUCGAGAGGAACACCGGUGGCGAAGGCGGCUUUCUGGACGGCGACUGACGCUGAGACGCGAAAGCGUGGGGAGCAAACAGG